AUACGUAGGGUGCGAGCGUUAAUCGGAAUUACUGGGCGUAAAGCGUGCGCAGGUGGUUUUGUAAGUCAGAUGUGAAAUCCCCGGGCUUAACCUGGGAACUGCGUUUGAAACUGCAAGGCUAGAGUGCGGCAGAGGGGGGUGGAAUUCCGCGUGUAGCAGUGAAAUGCGUAGAUAUGUGGAGGAACACCGAUGGCGAAGGCAGCCCCCUGGGUCAACACUGACGCUCAGGCACGAAAGCAUGGGGAGCAAACAGGAUUAGAUACCCCGGUAGUCC
rnacentral:rRNA from 1 species